CAGGCGAACACUUGAGUGCCAGGUAUGAGAGACCUAAGACACUGCCCUGCCCUGGAGGCACUGUCUACUGAGGAAAUCAAGAGACCAUAAUAAGGUGACAGCCAGGACAGUGCCUAUCCAUUUGGAGGAGCAGUUGCGGAAAACAUCACAGAGGAUGCCAUCUUUAGCAGGGCUUUGAAAUCCACCGAAGACCUCAGCUGCCAAGCUUCCCUGCUGUGGGCAGCUGGGAAGGCCUGUUCAAGCAGUCCUGACUGACUCUGAGCACGGUCAGUUUGAUGCCACCUUUCCCAUGACGCCAAGCUUAACAAUGCAUCUCCCUUCCUAUGCUGUGAACUGGCUCCUGGAGGACAGGGACACUCCUGUGCUUUCCAUGCUAGUGCCUUGGAAAAACAGGAUCAGAACAUACGUGGGCAAACACUAGAAGUCAUCUCUUCCUUCCUGACUCUCACAGCAGCAGCAGCUACUCCUUCCUGAUUCUGAAUUCUCCACCUGACCCAGCGUUUCCACUCCUGCCUCCCCCAGUUCUCACCAUGAGGCUGCAGGCUCUCAUUGGUAAAAGGCCGAUUGAUCACCUCCUUGGACCUGGCAGCAAAGUUGAGUGCGG
rnacentral:lncRNA from 1 species